AGUGAACGCUGGCGGCAGGCCUAACACAUGCAAGUCGAACGGCAGCACAGAGGAGCUUGCUCCUUGGGUGGCGAGUGGCGGACGGGUGAGGAAUACGUCGGAAUCUGCCUAUUUGUGGGGGAUAACGUAGGGAAACUUACGCUAAUACCGCAUACGACCUACGGGUGAAAGCGGAGGACCUUCGGGCUUCGCGCAGAUAGAUGAGCCGACGUCGGAUUAGCUAGUUGGCGGGGAAAGGCCCACCAAGGCGACGAUCCGUAGCUGGUCUGAGAGGAUGAUCAGCCACACUGGAACUGAGACACGGUCCAGACUCCUACGGGAGGCAGCAGUGGGAAUAUUGGACAAUGGGCGACAAGCCUGAUCCAGCCAUGCCGCGUGUGU
rnacentral:rRNA from 1 species